rnacentral:rRNA from 1 species
GAGUUUGAUCAUGGCUCAGAGCGAACGCUGGCGGCAGGCCUAACACAUGCAAGUCGAACGAACCCUUCGGGGUUAGUGGCGGGCGGGUGAGUAACACGUGGGAACGUACCCUUAGGUUCGGAAUAACUCAGGGAAACUUGAGCUAAUACCGAAUGUGCCCUUCGGGGAAAGAUUUAUCGCCUUUGGAGCGGCCCGCGUCUGAUUAGCCAGUUGGUGAGGUAAAGGCUCACCAAGGCUACGAUCAGUAGCUGGUCUGAGAGGAUGACCAGCCACACUGGGACUGAGACGCGGCCCAGACUCCUACGGGAGGCAGCAGGU